rnacentral:lncRNA from 1 species
CCCAUACAAAUAGAGGCAAUCUCCUCUGCAGCCCCACAUAUUUUGCAUGUAUGGUUUAGUGUGACAUGAGAGCAAACUUAAAGUACUUCUGCCUUCCCAUGAAUUCUGAUCUUUCUUCUUCUUCUUUUUUUUUUUUCCCCUUCAGAAGGAAGAAAAUUUGCCCUGAGCAUCCAUUGUUCCUGCGUGGGUGAUGAAGCAUUUGCUCUGGGAGCUUUGGUCACUCUGCCACUCACUUGCAAGCUGCUCUGCAUUCAGCAAUGAUGCAGAGGUGCCUCAAACACUCAUCUGCUCCAGGAGCUGCUUAGAGAAGACCCAGCUUGUGAAACUCAAGAAAAUUCUGUGAUGUUAACAAACCCAGGGCGUCACAAAGCUAAAAGAGAGAGAGUGGUAACACAUCUGAGUACCUUGUGGCUCGAGGUGUGCUUGAUGAACAAGGUUGAACUGGAAUCUUUGAGCAGGAAUCCUCCUAAGCCUGAACACUGGAAAACUGGUGUAGAGUGA